AAGGCUUUAAGUUAAUUUAAACUAUUAACCUUCAAAGUUAAAAAUAUAUACUAAGUUUAAGUCUUA
rnacentral:tRNA from 1 species